UAUGUGUAUGCACUAAUUUAUAUGCUUAAGAAUGUGUGUCGACUUUUAGUACAACCUGUAUUAUUGCCAACAAAAUGGAUAGUAAAACUUCCCUAAAUCCCUCGAUGCCUGGAGGUAGAACACAUCAUACUCUUUGGCAUCUGGGUUAGUAUAAACAAAACUUUAUUUCGUGCGAGGGUCCAGUUUUAAUUAAUCAUCGGGACUCUUUUCACAUGCUACGGUCAGAGGAAAAAAGGCCACAGGUGUGUGUGUGUUGAUGAGAGACGGAAUGUAGCUUGGAGAGGAGGGGGCGCCAACAGUUGAAACAUGAUCUCCAAGAUUUUUUCAGUGACAGGCACUCAGACGACCAUAAAGGACAUGAGAAAUAGGGGUUCAUAAUGGAAUGUGUCCGGCGGAAGCUGACCGAUGGUCGAACAAUGGACAUCUAUCAUGCCAACAGUUGACAAGAGACGGGCGAGUGCGCGCACCUUGUUCACUCCUUCAGGCAUUUGAAACCAACCAUGAAAUAUCAACUAGGUACAUGACAAGUUUUAAUAGCGGAAAUUUUCUUAUUUACCAAGUAUUAAUACUUAACAAUGCGUAAAUUGAACUGCGUUUUUAAAAAAAAAAACAGUAUCAAACAAUACAAAUAUACAAAAUUUAUACAUUUUUCACUCAUGUACAUGUAACUCGCAUUGCAACAGAAAGGUCACUGGUUUGCUAAGAUUAGUAUGUUGAUAUUAGUUUGACCAAUAUUCAUACUUUUUGUCAAGGAUAUUUGCUGUCCUGAAUAAAGAGUCUGAGUAACAAUUCAAUGUAAAUGUGACUACGGAUACUGUUCAAAAUAAAUUUUACGUUGGUAUUUCUUACGAAGUUUUAAAGACUAGCAUUGCAAUGAAAAUAUUUCAGACAGUACAUGUAAUUAAACCAAAUAUGUUGGGGGAGGGGUUGUAAAAUAAUCAAUCAUUAAAACCGAAAUCUGUAAAAGUUUGCUGGUUCGCAGCGUUAUUGAACGUUAUUGUACAAAUUUGCCCUAUUUCGCACACCAAAAACAAUGCAAAACUUCGACAUCGGUUCACCAGUCCAAUCCAGGUUCGGUGAUAUGACUAUUUUGACACGAGACGUCACUUUAAUUAUUUACAGGACCAACAGGAUCCGAUUAAGAUUUAUAUGUAGCUUCUCUACUGUCCGGUCUACCGUGAAAGUGUACUCUGC